ensembl:lncRNA
CAGAUUUUAAAAUAUAUUAAAAAUUACAUUCUGAUAAUAAUCUGAUAAUUUUUUUUUUCAUGUGUUGUAUAUAUAUAUAUAUAUAUAUAUAUAUAUAUAUAUAUAUAUAUAUAUAUAUAUAUAUACACAACACACACACACACACACACACACACAUGACACAUUAUUUGUUUUAUGACACAAACAUAGCACAUAAAACAUGACACAUGUUCUGAAAAUGAUUUGGACAUAAAAAAAAAAAAACUAAUUUGAGAUUUUAGGGCAACGAACAUAAGAAUUGUGUGUGUGUGUGUGUGUGUGUGCUAAUAAUGACCAGUGGGAGUCUGAGACCUGUAGAACCAGGGAAAAUUCCCUCCAAGGUGUCUGGCCGGACUCUCCUGUCAUCAGGGCUGUGAUUGCGUUUCUCUCUCUUUCUCUUCCCGAGAGAGCGAGUGACAGAAGGGAUGAGAGAAGCCGACUAAAAUGUGUGAAAGAAAUGUGCGGCGGACUCGGUGCUGCAUCCCUUCAGCAACAGAUGGGCUCCUAAUGAACAAUCCUCCAGCCAACAAUGUGGAAUGAGCUGAACAACGUCAAGAGCCGCACGUGGAGACAGCAGGACUACCGAAUGAGUCAGUGGGCCACCAGACUCCCGUUGCAGACGUGGGUUGUUUAUCCAAAUAGGACAGAGGAGAUGUCACUACAGGUGAGCACAGGAGGUUACCUAAACCACCUGUCCACUGGUUUGGAUCCUAGAGGCCACCUGUUUCCUCAGAAACAAAUUGUUGGAGCUCUGUCAGUGUGGCAGAAGUCAUUACUGAGCUGCGUGGAAUAGAGAUCGCAUCUUUGCUGAAGGUGAAAGAUUGCUGCAGAAUUUCCCCUCAUCCAAAUGAAGCAGGACAGAAUGGAGUGAAGAGGAGCAGAAGCCAGCAGAAGCUGAUUGAAGACGGAGUGCUUGUGUUACUGUUUGAGGUCAGUUUCAUUUCACCCCAAAGAGAAAAAAAAUAAAAAUCAACAAGGCCGGGAGUCGUCUUUAAACCUCUAAAUAACCAUCAGAAAAACACUAAACACAGCGGAUGAGGGAAGGAUGUCAACCUCCUUCCCAUCAGGAUUCAAAUCGUUCGUUCUUUAUGACACAGUUAAACAUGAAACAUAAAGACUUAUUUUAUAUGCUUAUUUUUUUAAUGACAUAGCAUGAAACAAAUAGAUUUGAUGUAAAUGGUUGCCAGGGUGUUGCUAUGUGGUUGCGAGCAUGUUUUGAAUGGUUGCUAGGGGAUUUAAUGGUGGUUACUAGGGUGUUCUGUUUGGCUGCCAGGUUAUUUUUCUGAGGUUGAUAUGAUAUUUUGAGUGGUUACCAUUGCAUGGUUUCUAAGCUUUUUAUAUGUAGUUGUUAGGGUGUGCUGGGUGGUUGCCAGGGAGUUCCUAUGUUGUUGCUACAUUAUUCUAAGUGGUUGCCAGGGAAUUGCUGUGAGUUUACUAGAAUAUUCUGAAAGGUUGCCAGGGCAUUGCUAUGUGGUUACUAAGGUGUUGACUGUGGAGUGUUCUAAAUGGUUGCCAGGGAGUUGCUAUGCGGUUGCUAAGGUUUAGAUUAUGUAGUUGCCAGUGUGUUCUGAUUGGUUGCCAGAGUGUUGCUGUCUGAUGGCUAUGAUAUUCUGUGUGGUAAAUCUUCCCUUAAAACAUUUUUUUUUUAGGGUAGCUUUUACUUGAUAAUUUUGUAAUUGUCACAUUUCUCUUUUUACUC